rnacentral:rRNA from 1 species
GACGAACGCUGGCGGCGUGCUUAACACAUGCAAGUCGAACGGAAAGGCCCUGCUUUUGUGGGGUGCUCGAGUGGCGAACGGGUGAGUAACACGUGAGUAACCUGCCCUUGACUUUGGGAUAACUUCAGGAAACUGGGGCUAAUACCGGAUAGGAGCUCCUGCUGCAUGGUGGGGGUUGGAAAGUUUCGGCGGUUGGGGAUGGACUCGCGGCUUAUCAGCUUGUUGGUGGGGUAGUGGCUUACCAAGGCUUUGACGGGUAGCCGGCCUGAGAGGGUGACCGGCCACAUUGGGACUGAGAUACGGCCCAGAAUCCUACGGGAGGCAGCAGUGGGAAAUAUUGCACAAUGGGCGGAAGCCUGAUGCAGCAACGCCGCGUGCGGGAUGACGGCCUUCGAGUUGUAAACAGCUUUCGCCUGUGACGAAGCGUGAGUGACGGUAAUGGGUAAAGAAGCACCGGCUAACUACGUG